CAUCUGUCCUUCUCCUCCUCUCUUUUACUGUCAGUUCUGGUUUGCCCAUCUUUGCGUGUACAUAACGCGGUUUUCUUUCUGAUGCUUCAGGAUGAACACAACAGGCAAGGCCAUCACUGAAGGCUACAAAGAAGUUAUCACAUUCACAACCACGUUUGACGAUGUGUCCCACAGCAAACCUAAUCUCGGAGCAUUCAAAAACCUCUCGUAUAACACAGCAUCUCGACCUGAUUGGUAACUCUACACAGUUCCUGCGUCAGCCUUUCUGA
rnacentral:lncRNA from 1 species